GAGGCCACAAAGGACGGAUAGGAGAAGAUAAAUCAUGAAAUCUCUGGAGAUGGAAACAUCACUGGUUCUGGAUCUUAUUUCUGUAGCUGCUACAAGUCAGACUACUCAAUGUGAUGAAGGCAGUGGGAGAGCAGCAACUUCCAUCACAUGGAGCAACCUCAAUGUUAAAAGUAGGAGAAGCCUGGAGGGAAUUUGUAUCACAAGGUGACCUUGAGGAGCAGCAAGUGUUGUGGAGACAAAAAAAGAUGGCUUAACUGCACCUGAAAAGAGACAGAUUAUUGGUCAUGUAUAUCCAAAGCAGUGGCUGAAUGAGUGCUACAUGUUCAGGAGACUUUCCAGGCUGGCUUCACAGCGUACUUUGCUACAGGAUAUAAACCCGGCAGUAACUCCGGGGGGACACAGCACACUUGGAGUGGGGUGAAGGACGGCUGGAGAACCGGGAACCUGACCCAGCGCCUGGGCCGAGGAGGGGACAGAGCUGCAUGAGGAGUGAGUUAGGCACUGAGCUAUGAAAGGUGGGCGCUUCCUGCGCGGGCUGCAGCCGCACAGCCCCGGUCCCCACACGGCUCCAUCACCCCAUCCCCACCGCUCCCGGAGCCGGGCCAUCCCCAUCAGCGCUCCCGCCGGGCGCGGCCCCGCGCCUGCCCGCUGCUCCCGAGCGCCUCCUAGCGUUCACCGCGCACCACUGGCCCUGAGGUGCGGAGCGGGCGGGGAGCGCCCCGUCACCCCCGAGGUAACGG